UACGUAGGGUGCGAGCGUUAAUCGGAAUUACUGGGCGUAAAGCGUGCGCAGGCGGUUUGCUAAGACCGAUGUGAAAUCCCCGGGCUUAACCUGGGAACUGCAUUGGUGACUGGCAGGCUAGAGUAUGGCAGAGGGGGUAGAAUUCCACGUGUAGCAGUGAAAUGCGUAGAGAUGUGGAGGAAUACCGAUGGCGAAGGCAGCCCCCUGGGCCAAUACUGACGCUCAUGCACGAAAGCGUGGGGAGCAAACAGG
rnacentral:rRNA from 1 species